GGAUGCGAUCAUACCAGCACUAAAGCACCGGAUCCCAUCUGAACACCGAAGUUAAGCGUGCUUGGGCGAGAGUAGUACUGGGAUGGGUGACCUCCUGGGAAGUCCUCGUGUUGCGUUCC
rnacentral:rRNA from 1 species